rnacentral:lncRNA from 1 species
UCGGAUUGUCUUUUCUGAAUUUUAUACUGAUAGGUACAAUAUCUCUCUGUGUCAACAGUUUAUUUUUCUGUCAGUUCUGAGUUGAGGUUUGAGUUAUAAUUAUCCUUUGGUAUGGUGCUUCUACGGUUAGUUUUCAAUUGACUUAGUUUGAAGAGUUAAUUGCUUUUUCCACUUUAGACAACAACAAAAUUUCUGGAGAAAUUUUACUUGCUUUAAGACUUAACAAUCUAUUCAGAAUCUUUUAUCCAACAUGCUUGUACUUUUAGUUACACAGUGUGCAAUUGUCCUGGGCGCAUUGCAUUUGCGCCAAUUUUUGAAAAUUACAAUCUUUCAUUUGCGCCACAAGGUUAUAUUUCAUUUGCGCCAAAAAAUAAAAACUUCAUUUAGGCCAUUUUACAAGCAAUAAUGGAAGCGUUAAAUAUUCAUUGCUCUAAAAGGUUUUUCUCUACAGUAUUUCUCUGGAUAAUGGGACGAGUUCAAUGCCACAUUAGGUGUCUAGAUGGAAAUUUUCAAUUUAGACAUAAAACAGGAGAAUUAAGUUAGUAAUAUUUGAUGACCACACUUUUAGUUUAUUAUCAGAUCCUACGUUCUGAAAAAUGGGGACCAAGUCGUUUAUUGGUACCCCAAAUAAAUAAAACCUUGCAAAGCCAGUAUAGAAACUGAAAUGGACUGCAGUUCAUGAAAAAACGGACUAUCUUUUUUUAUCAAUAUGUAUGCACUUGAGAGGAGGAAUGAUCCAGAGAUGAAUACAUCAGGAUCGUCGCUUACAAGUUUGGUGCCAGGGUAGACGUAUAACUUUACAAUAGUGUAUCAUGUUUAGAAUAACUCCAGUGUCAACUGUUUUCUUUCAUGUUUAAUAUUAGGUGUUAUGAUCACGUUUAUUUAUAACAGAACUGUGUUUCAUUAAAGUUUUAACAUUACUUGUGUGGUUUAAUGUCGACGGAUUUCUAAAUAAUAUAUUUUAUUUUGCAAACAAAAUCUUUUAUUAUCAAGUCUUUUUUAUAAUAUAUGUUUUAAACUAUUCACCUGUAUUUACCUUUAAUAUUGGCGCAAUUGAAAGGUUUUAUUUUGGCGCAAAUGAAAUAUUGUUUGUGGCGCAAAUGAAAGAUUUUUUUGGCGGAAAUGAAAUGCUAAUUGGCGCAAAAGCAAAGCACCGAUUGUCCUAAUACGAGAAUUUAUUGACCCAAUAAAUUCAGUAUUUAAGACAAUUGAACACUGUGUAACAAAUUUAUCCUGAUUUUGUUAUAUUGCAUAUUAUUAUAUUCAAAUUCAAUAUUAGGACAAUAUCAACCAAAUUAUUUUAGAUAUUUAAUCUAAAACUGUGAAAAAUUAAAAAUAUUAGGAAUACUAAGCAACUCAAAUUGAUUUUUUUUUAUCAGGUCAAUGAUAUAAUGAAGAUAAUUCCGAUUGAUGUAAUAAAUAAGGGAGAUAAUUUCAAUUGAUGUGAUAAAAAAUUGUACUGAAAUUUAUUAGGACAUUAUCAGCCAAUCAAAUUACUCUAAAUCAAGAUAAAAUGUUUUAAUUUGAUUAGUCAAAUGAGAAAAUAAACCAGUUUGCUUUAAUCAUGACAACCAAGGGGAAAUAACUCUGACUUUGUUUAUUUGAUAGUAAAGUCUAUAUCAGGAGACAAUAGUUAACUUGUGUAAAUUCAGAAAAUUGUUGUGUGUAUUGAUUAAAAAGGGACAGAAAAUGCUGCAUAUAACAAUGCUUUUAAAUUUAAAAUGUGAUUUUGCAACUAAUAUCAAUUCAAGAAUUUAUUGGGUGCAUUUAUUAUUGUGAUUUUUCACAAAUGGACCAAAUUGCGAGUUUAAUUAAUGUGAUUUUAAAAAAUCUACAUAAUUUUUAUAGAUUUAUGUUUGAGUUAUCAAAAUGCCAGUUUUUAUUAUUGCAAUACUCGCCCAGUCACAUUAUUAGCAUGAAUAAAAACUUGGCAAUAAUUUCUGAAUUUACCAUUGCAAUUAUAAGGAAUAAUAUUACUUAGUAUGAAUUUACAGUAUAAAAUGCUAAACACUGUCCAAAUAUUUAUGUUUCAUUGCUUUUAUUGAAAACUAUGGUUGUAUAAUUUUAGUUUAUACUUUUAUGUAGUUUAUUUUUGUAAGCAUGAUAUAUAUAGAUUUAAAAAUGAAACUAUG